GUCGAGCGGUAGAGAGGUGCUUGCACCUCUUGAGAGCGGCGGACGGGUGAGUAAAGCCUAGGAAUCUGCCUGGUAGUGGGGGAUAACGCUCGGAAACGGACGCUAAUACCGCAUACGUCCUACGGGAGAAAGCAGGGGACCUUCGGGCCUUGCGCUAUCAGAUGAGCCUAGGUCGGAUUAGCUAGUUGGUGAGGUAAUGGCUCACCAAGGCGACGAUCCGUAACUGGUCUGAGAGGAUGAUCAGUCACACUGGAACUGAGACACGGUCCAGACUCCUACGGGAGGCAGCAGUGGGGAAUAUUGGACAAUGGGCGAAAGCCUGAUCCAGCCAUGCCGCGUGUGUGAAGAAGGUCUUCGGAUUGUAAAGCACUUUAAGUUGGGAGGAAGGGCAUUAACCUAAUACGUUAGUGUUUUGACGUUACCGACAGAAUAAGCACCGGCUAACUCUGUGCCAGCAGCCGCGGUAAUACAGAGGGUGCAAGCGUUAAUCGGAAUUACUGGGCGUAAAGCGCGCGUAGGUGGUUCGUUAAGUUGGAUGUGAAAUCCCCGGGCUCAACCUGGGAACUGCAUUCAAAACUGUCGAGCUAGAGUAUGGUAGAGG
rnacentral:rRNA from 1 species